rnacentral:lncRNA from 1 species
AAUAUCUCCAAAGUACGCCUGUACUUAGAAUCAGUCUUGGCAUUUCAGGGCAUUGUGAAUCUUCAUUUAGGUUUAGGAGCAAGAUAAUGGAAUAGAAGCCUACAACAUUUGCUCUCCGACCCCACUGGAAAACCAAAUGACUCUUGGGUUUCCUGACACCAGGCCUAGGUGGUGGGACAGCAUUUCUGGACCUGCCCUGGGAAAGAAGGGAGCUUAACAGUCCUGAAAGAUCUCUCAGACAGAAAAUCAACAAUCAUCAGACUUAAAC